rnacentral:rRNA from 1 species
UACGUAGGCAGCGAGCGUUGUUCGGAGUUACUGGGCGUAAAGGGUGUGUAGGCGGUUCUUUAAGUUUGGUGUGAAAUCUCCCGGCUUAACCGGGAGGGUGCGCCGAAUACUGAGGGACUAGAGUGUGGGAGAGGAAAGUGGAAUUCCUGGUGUAGCGGUGAAAUGCGUAGAUAUCAGGAGGAACACCGGUGGUGUAGACGGCUUUCUGGACCAUAACUGACGCUGAGACACGAAAGCGUGGGUAGCAAACAGG